GACGUAGGGGGCGAGCGUUGUCCGGAUUUAUUGGGCGUAAAGCGUGCGUAGGCGGCUGCGCAAGUCGGGUGUGAAACCCCGGGGCUCAACCCCGGAACUGCAUCCGAUACUGCGUGGCUAGAGGUAGGUAGGGGAGAUCGGAAUUCCUGGUGUAGCGGUGAAAUGCGCAGAUAUCAGGAGGAACACCGGUGGCGAAGGCGGAUCUCUGGGCCUUACCUGACGCUCAGGCACGAAAGCUAGGGGAGCGAACAG
rnacentral:rRNA from 1 species